UAUAUGUAUCAUUGAAAAAAUACAUGAGGCUACUAGAGCGCAACUAUUAUAAUGCAUUUUCCAUAGUACCCCAGUGGUAUUCAAACAUUUAUUUCUUGAAGAAAAAAAAUACUAAAGAAAAAUUUGGUAGCAGUUCCGGUGGCUAUAGAAGUCAGCCUUUUAUAACAGCAAAAAAAAAAAAGUAAAUGGUCAUGUGGCCAAAAAUGCCCUAAAAUGCAGUUGUAGUGGAAAAUUCCUAAUUCCACACUAAAUUGGAAAAGCUAAUUUUGAUGGCUUCUCCGUUGAUAAAAAAAAAUAUAUCUUCUAGAUUAUUAAUUUGAC
rnacentral:lncRNA from 1 species